UACGAAGGGGGCGAGCGUUGUUCGGAAUUACUGGGCGUAAAGCGUGCGUAGGCGGUUCGCUGUGUCCGAUGUGAAAGCCCCGGGCUUAACCUGGGAAUGGCAUUGGAAACUGGCGGGCUUGAGUGCGGCAGAGGGGGGUGGAAUUCCGCGUGUAGCAGUGAAAUGCGUAGAGAUGCGGAGGAACACCGAUGGCGAAGGCAGCCCCCUGGGUCGACGCUGACGCUCAGGCACGAAAGCGUGGGGAGCAAACAGG
rnacentral:rRNA from 1 species